UGGUGGCUCGUCUAAUGUUGACUUUUGCUGUCACUGAGUAACAUUGACCCUCAAUGAGGUGUGUGUGAGGGCUUCCCGUAGUUUGUGACAACUUUGAGGAGCUCAGUGGGGCCGAGAGGUUUUCAUGGUUUUGUUAGCUAGCUCCAUUUUAGCUUUGAGAAUGUGGAGCAGAGAAGUUGAACCUGGAGCUGAUUGAGGUGCACUUCGCGGGGCUCAAAGCUCACAGAAUGGCGUUCAGACAGUGUGCCAGCUGGCAAAGUUACCGAUGAAGCAGAGGAGGAGGAGGCCUGACAGCUCAGCUGAAGUCACCACACUCUCACAUUUAUGUCUGACCUGUAUUGUACUGUCUGGCAGACAGUGUCUCAAUGCAUCUAACAGAAUUUGAAGAAGAGCAUAAGACUAUUUGAAAGAUGUCAAGUGACAGAGGGAACAGUGUCUCACCCUCUCUGGCUCUGCCCUCUUACUGGAUUCUGGCCCCAAAUUUUGGAAGCUGGACUUGCCGUCUUCGGCUGCCCACAAUCCACUCUGUGCUUUCCUGCAGCCAUGCGACAGUCCUUGAUGCUGGGGAUGACUGUCGCCAAAAGACUCAUUUUGAAGGAAUGGAAAUCAUCCUCUCCCCCUUCCUUCCUGAGAUGGAUGGCUGACAUGACUUCAGUCAUACAGAUGGAAAGAUUCAGAUUAUCGAGAACCAACUCAAUUAAAAAAUCUUGCCUAUCUGGAACCCAUUUCUUGCUUACCUAGACGAGACCGGGGGGAGGAUAAGUAACUCACCCAGCUACUUUUUCAUGGCCAUUGCUUGAAAUCUAAUGCAAAGCACUCUCCACUAGAAGCAUUUUACUAUUAUUUAAUUUUAAUUGUAUAUUUUUUUCUUUUCUU